rnacentral:ncRNA from 1 species
UGGAAACCUACUAAGUGAGAACUUUCAAAUUCAGAGAAACCCUGGAAUUACUAAAAACGGGCAAUCCUGAGCCAAAUCCUCUUUUUUUAUUUCUCUAUUUUUGAUAUAUCUAUAUAUCUAUCUAUAUAUAUAUAAAUAUUAAUUAAUCAAGAUUAAAGGAAAAGGGGGAUAGGUGCAGAGACUCAAUGGAAGCUGUUCUAACAAAUGGAGUUGAUCAUGUUGGUAUUGGUAGAUGAAUCCCUUUCAUCAAAACUUUAGAAAGGAUAAAAGAGAAACGUAUAUACAUAUGUAUCUGUACUGAAAUCCUAUAUCAAAAUCAAAUGCUUCUUUUUUUUAUGAAAAAUAGAAAAAAAUAGAAGAAUCGUUGCGAAUCGAUUCCACAUUGAAUAACUAAUUUCAUAUUCAUUGAUCAAAUUAGUUACUUCAUAGUCUAAUAGAUCUUGUGAAUAACUGAUUAAUCAGGCAAGAAUAAAGAUAGAGUCCCAUUUUACAUGUCAAUACCGACAACAAUAAUGCAAUUUAUAGUACGAGGAAAAUCCGUCGACUUUAGAAAUCGUGAGGGUUCAAGUCCCUCUAUCCCCAAAAAUUUAUUU